rnacentral:rRNA from 1 species
CAAUAGCGUAUAUUAAAGUUGUUGCAGUUAAAAUGCUCGUAGUUGAAGUUCGGAUGCAGCGGAGCUUGGAAACGUUGUUAUGGUGCUUCCGUUGCUUUUGCUUGUCCACAGUGCGUUGCAAGUACGUAUGUGCUUGUGCGUGCAUUUUACUUUGAGAAACAUAGGGUGUUCCACGCAUGUUACGGCAUGAAUAUUCCAGCAUGGGAUAAUCUGGUACGACUUCCAAUCUGCCAUUUUGGUUCGUAGGUUGGAAGUAAUGAUUAAUAGGGACUGUCGGGGGCAUUGGUAUUUGACUGUCAGAGGUGAAAUUCUUAGAUUCGUUGAGGACCAACCACUGCGAAAGCAUUUGUCAAGGAUGUCUCCAUUAA